UGGUAAUAUUUUGCCUAACGAAUAGGUCAACAUUGGAGGUAAUUAUCUGUUGUCAUUCCUUCACUGUGUUACCCAAGUUGGGCAUUAAACAUUGCUGGCACAUUUGCAUGAAAUGAUUUAUAAUUCAUUGUUAUUAUUACAUGUUUGGCAAAUUUCAUAAAAACAAUCUCGCAAAAAUUACUUCGGCUGCAAUUUAUAGCUUGCAAACAUUUAUCUGAUAAGACCAUUAUGCAUGAAUAAUACUGUUAAGUUUCAUGUAUAAGGUUUUGUACUUGAAUCAAGUGAAGUUGAACUAAGCAUAAAAUGUAUGCCUUUGCCAUUUUUUAAAUGGUGAAACACUUGCACAAACAAAUACUUACAAAUAUAGGAAACAAUUAAUUCUUUUAGCUGAAAAAUUCAACUAGUAUCAGGUUGAUGUAGGUGAGCCAUUACUAUAGCCUUUUCUGAUGAGCAGGUAUUGAGCGGCUCCAGGGUACAACUUCAUGGUUUUAUUAACCAGGUUUUCCGAAGGAAAAAACUGGUUAUUAGAUUGGCGAAUGCGGGCGGGCUGGCUGGCGGGCUGGCUGGCUGGCGGGCUGGCGGAAUAAGCUUGUCCGGGCCAUAACUAUGUCGUUCAUUGUCAGAUUUUAAAAUCAUUUGGCACAUUUGUUCACCAUCAUUGGACGGUGUGUCGCGCGAAAUAAUUACGUCGAUAUCUCCAAGGUCAAGGUCACACUUUGAGUUCAAAGGUCAAAAAUGGCCAUAAAUGAGCUUGUCCUGGCCAUAACUAUGUCAUUCAUUGUGAGAUUUUAAAAUCAUUUGGCACAUUUGUUCACCAUCAUGGGACGGUGUGUCCCACGAAAGAAUCACGUCAAUAUCUCCAAUGUCAAGGUCGCCACGACUAAAAAUAGAUUUAAAAAAAAAAAAAAACUUACAAAGGGGGUUAAUUUUUUUUGGUCAUUUCAAAA